ensembl:lncRNA
GUCUAAGUUGAAAGUAAAAAUGCUGACAUGAUAAUCAAAGCCAAUCAUAUACUGUAUAAUGCAGGACCAGUAAAACUUCUAUGUGCCACAGAAAGUUACAGAAUAUGCAAAAUACGGUAUACUUCAUUCAUUGCUUGUGGUCGUGGCUGCUUAAUUGGACCAAAAUCUGGGCACUUUUGUUAAAAAUGGAUGAGACCUUUUACUUAUGUAUUUUUUUUAUUAUUAUUAUUAUUAUUUUUAAGUUGAGAUUAAAUAUAUUUUCAGUGUGGUUUAGACUUGUGGACCCCACUGUAAAAUAUUAAAAGUGUCUGAUAAUAUGAUAUUACUGAGAUAAAGUGAGUAGCGCUGUUUUUGGCUGGUCAUGUGAUUUGUCUGUCCAUGCUGGAAGAAAAAGUAUAUUGUGUCAUGAUGUGACACAAUCACAGCCAAUCAGAAUAUAUUUGAUGUAUUAUAUAUGUGGGGCAGAAUUUUGCACUAAGAAAUAUUUCUUCUUAGCUAAAUGCUACAGAAAGUGCUUGUGGUUGUGGCUGAUUAAUACUAAAAAAAAUCUCUUUUUUCUCUUUUUCCCCUCAUUUGCUCUCUGAAUUGGAUCGGUUCAAAUUGAACUGGUGGACAAAUAGGUCCCAAAGCUUCUCACAUGUGACCACAAGCUCGGGCAUGUCAGCUGCUUCUGCUCUCCUCUCUGGAUGACAGAUACAUCAGGUCUGGGUUCAGCUGCAGGGCCUCAGGAGAGUGAGAGGAAGCUGCUCUCAUCCUGGCCCAGCGUUGAGAAGUGUAGUGCAGGGAGAGUUUCCAGCUCCACUGGGAAGCGGCUGGUGGCUCUGCCCUGCGCUCUGGCCAUGCGAGAAGCUGUUGUCUCAGACCUCUUUGAACCUCUCAAACUGAAGCCCUCUAGAACACCUAAACAUUUUCCAUUGUCCGGUAACAUUUCCUUUGGUCUCUUCUCUGUGUCUGUUUCUUGUCUAGUCAGAGGAAGAUGGUAUAAGAGGAAUUCAGAAGGCCAAGGACAAGAUAAAAAAACGAACUCAGGCGAUAACGCUCAGACUACAAAUAGCCGGGACAAGAGCAUCGCUCACAGAUUUAUGAAGAGUCCAGAAAUGUGUCUCAUCAUUAUGGAGGAAGGUCUUUAACCAGUCCAACUCUUGGCAGGUGCAGAACACUAAAGGACCAUUUUAUUUCUAAAUUAGUCUGAAAGGCGCACCACAAAGACUGGAAAUGCUGCUGCCCUUUCAUUUUAAAUGGCUAUUGGGUUCAUCCUGCACAUAAAACUGAUCACAGAAAAUUAAUCUAAGCGUUUGGAGAAGAGACUGGAGAUACUGUAUGAACUGUCCCUCUGGAAUGGGCUGCCAUUAAGUUUACUAAAAAUGUCUGUUGGUUUCGCCCAGACAGUUACUUAGGAGAGCUGUGUCUGAACGGGAUCCAGAUCUCUGGUAUGUGGUGCAGUAAUGACAGAGAAAUGUUGUCAUAAUUAUUGUAAUUUCUUUUGAUUUAGAAAGUUGGUGCAGUUUUAAUUGAGAGGACAAAUUUAGCUGUAUUGGACAGCCGAGUUCAUGAAUGUGUGCCCAGUAACAGUUCAAAACUUUUUAAACUAAUCAAGAUAACUUUUUGCUUUCUUUCUUUCUAACAUGUUACUAAUGCUGUAAGUCAUACGUUUAUAUGAUGUCUGCUAGCUUACUCCGAAAAUGUAUAUUCUGUGAAAAUGUAUCUUCCAGUGAUUAUGCAUGAAGAUAAAUU